rnacentral:rRNA from 1 species
CACCGCCCGUCACACCAUGAAAGCCGUUUGUACCCGAAGUCGCCGUGUUAACAGCAAUGAGACAGGUGCCGAAGGUAUGGAUGGUGAUUGGGAUG